GAUCUGGUGGUUAUCGCGCGGGGCCCGAACCCGAUCCCAUCCCGAACUCGACCGUUAAAUCCCGUCGCGCCAAUGGUACUAAGUCUCAAGACUUGGGAGAGUAGGUCGCCGCCAGGUCU
rnacentral:rRNA from 1 species